UAAUGUUUAUACUUCCUUUGUAAAGUAAAAUUUGCAAUAAUUUCUCAUCUCCUCCUCUGUUAAUAGCUUGCUUGACUGUGCAGGAGCCUUCUUUAGAUAUUUAAAAUUUAAUUUAAAGAGCAGGAGAUAAACUUUUCAAAUAAGUUACAUUUGAUUGAAAAGGAAACCAUUUCUCCCCCCCACCCCAUGCAGCCAGGGAAGGUGUGGCAAGGGCUGAAUAAACAAACAAAAUGAAUGGCAGAGACUUGAGCAGUGAGACUUCAGAGGAAUGAUCUUUACACCAAAACUGCUUCAUUAAGCUAAAGUUAUUUUGGUGAAUACAGUGUCC